ensembl:piRNA 21ur-1762 ncRNA
UGCAGUCGUUGAAUGGUGACU